GGGCCCGUAGCUUAGCCAGGUUUGAUUCUGUCCUGAGAGCCCCUCAGGGAAGAGAAUAUGCGCACGGCUGAUAACCGUGAGGCCAGGCGUUCAAAUCGCCUCGGGCCCA
rnacentral:tRNA from 1 species